AUGUGGCUACAGAGAUGUCCCCAGUAUUCAAAGACACCACAGUGCUACCCAAUCUACUUACCUAGAAUCACUGGCUCCUUUGGAAAAGGGAGACUCCAGGAAAGUCACCAACAGCAUGAUCUUUGCUACCAAAUCCACCCACCAGAGGUAAGGUGUAGCUGCUGUGACUACAGGCCGAUGGACUCCAGAGCUGCCCUGUUGCUGAAGAACUUCCCUCAGCCACACAGGAGCUGCUGGACCUGCCCUGCCCAGGAGACUCCGCCACAUCCUCAUCCAUCUGCCCCUGGUCUUCUGACGACUAACUCACAGGGAAGGAGAAAAAGGCCAGCCCCCUCUCCUCAAAGGGACUGACUCUGUGUGGCCAUUCAUGCUCCAGAGCAUCUUCAUGGGAUUAGACUGAAGCCAGGCUGCAGCUGAGAUCACCUCCUCACUUAGCUUUAUCCUCCAUGCCAUCCUGCAUUCCUCACUCUGCUUCUCCUGAGAGUGUACAUCAGUGAAACACUGAAACAAGAACUUUCAUCUCAGGUUCUGGUUCUUGGGAACCCGAUUUAGAGCUCUAACUCAGAGCAUGGCAGAACUGAGCAGAAGGGAGACCCUCAGGGCAGGAGCAAAGAUGACACUAGGAUAAGACAGAGCUAGGACACAAGCCCUG
rnacentral:lncRNA from 13 species